GUACGAUCACCGAAGUUAAACAACGUCGAGCCUGAUCAGUAUUUAGAUGGGUGCCCGCAAGGGAAUACCAGGUGCUGUAAG